rnacentral:rRNA from 1 species
CAGUUCGGACUGUAGGCUGCAACUCGCCUACACGAAGUCGGAAUCGCUAGUAAUCGCGGAUCAGCAUGCCGCGGUGAAUACGUUCCCGGGCCUUGUACACACCGCCCGUCACACCAUGAGAGUCGAUAACACCCGAAGCCUGUAGUCUAACCGUUAGGGGGGACGCAGUCGAAGGUGGGAUUGAUAAUUAGGGUGAAGUCGUAACAAGGUAUC